rnacentral:tRNA from 1 species
GGGUUGUGGCUCAGUGGUAGAGCACUUGCCUAGCAUGUGUGAGGUUCUGGUUCGAUUCUCAGUAGCACA